rnacentral:rRNA from 1 species
GUGGGGAAUAUUGGACAAUGGGCGCAAGCCUGAUCCAGCCAUGCCGCGUGAGUGAUGAAGGCCUUAGGGUUGUAAAGCUCUUUCGCCCGCGAAGAUAAUGACGGUAGCGGGAGAAGAAGCCCCGGCUAACUUCGUGCCAGCAGCCGCGGUAAUACGAAGGGGGCUAGCGUUGUUCGGAAUCACUGGGCGUAAAGCGCACGUAGGCGGACGUUUAAGUCAGAGGUGAAAGCCUGGAGCUCAACUUCAGAACUGCCUUUGAUACUGAACGUCUCGAGUCCGGGAGAGGUGAGUGGAACUGCUAGUGUAGAGGUGAAAUUCGUAGAUAUUAGCAAGAACACCAGUGGCGAAGGCGGCUCACUGGCCCGGUACUGACGCUGAGGUGCGAAAGCGUGGGGAGCAAACAGGAUUAGAAACCCCGGUAGUCC